CAGGAGGAGGCACUUCCAGGCUGGGAAGUGAAGAGGGAAGUGAGUUUUCUGGUAGCAGAGCCCAGAGCCCAUCCAGCUGAGACCUUCUGGGACCCAAAAAAUACCUUCACUGAAUCUCUGCUACAACAGCUACAUCUCUUCUCAAAAAGGUCUUUCAUUUCACUCCUCUCAUUUAAAUUCCUACAUCUUAAUCAUGAACCUGUCUCCACAUCUGAGGACAAAGAAGCCUGGGCUAGAUGUUCUGUUGGUCUUGGAUUUAUCACUUCAAGAAGUCAGUAGGGACUGGUCAGCUGAAAACUCACACAAAAUUGAGCCUCCCAGCAUGAAAAUCACUAUAAAAAUAUAAAGCGAAGGAGCAAUAAAGUACCUCUACAUUUCCA